rnacentral:rRNA from 1 species
UACGUAGGGGGCAAGCGUUGUCCGGAUUUAUUGGGCGUAAAGAGCUCGUAGGCGGUUCCGUAAGUCGAGUGUGAAAAAUCUGGGCUCAACCCAGUGGAGCACUCGAUACUGCGGUGACUGGAGUACGGUAGAGGAGUGUGGAAUUCCUGGUGUAGCGGUGAAAUGCGCAGAUAUCAGGAGGAACACCGACGGCGAAGGCGACUACCUGGCCUGUUCUUGACGCUGAGGCGCGAAAGCUAGGGGAGCAAACGGG